UACGGGGGGGGCAAGCGUUGUUCGGAAUUACUGGGCGUAAAGGGCUCGUAGGUGGCCAACUAAGUCAGACGUGAAAUCCCUCGGCUUAACCGGGGAACUGCAUCUGAUACUGGAUGGCUUGAGUUUGGGAGAGGGAUGCGGAAUUCCAGGUGUAGCGGUGAAAUGCGUAGAUAUCUGGAGGAACGCCGGUGGCGAAGGCGGCAUCCUGGACCAACACUGACACUGAGGAGCGAAAGCCAGGGGAGCAAACGGG
rnacentral:rRNA from 1 species